GCUCUUGUUUGUCUUCAGAUUGUCUAAAUCUUUUGCCUUUUACUAAAGAUUUCUGUGGGGAGCAACAACAAGAUUUAUUGAUUCCGUGUGAAAGCGGAGCUGACUUUGCA